GACCGGAAUAAAACUCACCUACCUCUCUUCCCAUAAAUAAUCUUCAAUCAUGUUCCCUGCGGUGGUAUAUAUGCCUAUUAAAAAGGAAUUCUAGGAAUACGGAGAUAUUAUGUAUAGGUUAGAGUGCAUAUUGGGUGUUCUUCGUAAAUAAGAAAGCUAAAAAGGAGCGGAACUUGCGAAGCGACUGUAGCUUACUUAUUUACGAAGAACAUCCAAUAUGCACUCUAACCGGCUUAGUGCUCCGCCCACUUGCGUUUUAUAAUAUAAAACGUCCAGUUUAUAUAAAAUCUGUUCUAUUAAGAUUUGUAACCUGAAAAUUUGAAAAAUCCUCGUCGGUGAUUGGCUUAAAAAAAUUGGCGAGCACUAAGUAACCAAAGGGAAAUAAUCAGUUGUAGUUUAUUGAUUGAAAUCUGUAGGAGUGAUUUCCCUUGGCUGUUUUAUUAGUUAGUCAUGCGUGUAAUUGUUCCCGCCGUUUUCUGAGUUGUCAUCCGUUUUUGGAAGAAGGCAGACAUGUUUUUCAGUUGUUUAUAGUUAGUUAUUAUUUCUUAAAAUGGAUUGUGGACUUUGGAUUGAGUAACACCACAAGACUGAGAGGAUUUUUGUAUGUGUGUCAUUUGAGUCCAAUCCACAAUUGGGCUUGAUAUCUUCUUGAUACUGAUUAUAUAUUGAUUGGUGCUUAAACAAGUGCUUGAUGUGUAGUUGUGAUGUGACUUUAACCUCUUGGGUUAAAUCUACUUGAAGCUUUAUAUUAAUAUAGUAAUAUACUGAGAUCAUACACUGAUGGACAUUUCAAUUAAAAGUAUUGAACGAA